GACGAACGCUGGCGGCGUGCUUAACACAUGCAAGUCGAACGGAAAGGCCCUGCUUUUGUGGGGUGCUCGAGUGGCGAACGGGUGAGUAACACGUGAGUAACCUGCCCUUGACUUUGGGAUAACUUCAGGAAACUGGGGCUAAUACCGGAUAGGAGCUCCUGCUGCAUGGUGGGGGUUGGAAAGUUUCGGCGGUUGGGGAUGGACUCGCGGCUUAUCAGCUUGUUGGUGGGGUAGUGGCUUACCAAGGCUUUGACGGGUAGCCGGCCUGAGAGGGUGACCGGCCACAUUGGGACUGAGAUACGGGCCAGACUCCUACGGGAGGAAGAAGUGGGGAAUAUUGCACAAUGGGCGGAAGCCUGAUGCAGCAACGCCGCGUGCGGGAUGACGGCCUUCGGGUUGUAAACCGCUUUCGCCUGUGACGAAGCGUGAGUGACGGUAAUGGGUAAAGAAGCACCGGCUAACUAC
rnacentral:rRNA from 1 species